rnacentral:lncRNA from 1 species
AUGGCAAACUCUCAAAAUUAAAUUUAUUUACAAAUCAGACAUCCCAUGAUUCUUUUAGCAAGAGGGCAGGCAUUUCUAUAUCUUGAAAAUAAUAAAAAGGUAAAUAUUUCUAUGUAUUUAAUACAAUUCUAGUUUAUUAUCGUUUAUUUCGUUUGAUUCUAUUAAUGAGCUUAUGCAGUAGCCAGGCAGGAAUUAUUGGCAGCUAACAGAUAAGGAAACUGAGGCACAAGAGAGUUUGACUUACUCAACGUCACAUAGACUCAUAGUCACAUAGUAGUGAAGCCAGAUCUUAACACUUCACAGGCUAGAAGGGGUUGUAGAAGCUGGGACCACAGCUGUUCCAGGGAUGUUUGUGGGAUAAAGUGGCCUAGGCUAGGAAUUGGGAUUUGUUCUGUAUUUUAUCAUCUUUUGAGAUUAUCUGUGGCCUUGCAUGGGUAUAAAGACGGAUAUAAAGACCAGGGUUCUGGUUCCAAUUCUGCCAGUCAUCUGCCAUGUGAACUUAGCAUGACUCAACUUUUUUUGGUCUUGGUUUUCUAAUUUCUAAUAUCAGAAUUUAAAGGAUCCUGGGAUGUUUUAGGAGGAAGGGGCAUUUAAAUUAUAUCAUUAAAAUUUGGGCUAAAAGUGAGAGGAAAGACAAUAACCAUGAGCACUGGCACAAAGGUGGAAAUUCAAGGUCUGGUCUGGAAAUAGCUAGAGAAAUUUAACUUGGAAUAUAGAACAGGUGUUGAUAUAAUGAGUUCAUUUAUUUUGCCUGCUGUAUGAUAGUUCAUUGAAGUAGUAAACCACAGUUCAUAUAUCCAUUCUAACUCUAAAAGAUACUAAGAAAUACUAAAAAUGUUGCUUUGACAUUUUUAGUAUUACAGUGACACAAUGAACAUCCAAGUGCAUGGUUUUUAAAAAUAUGUGUGUGACUUGAUUGAAGAUUGAGGCUUAGAAAUGGAAAAUGCUAGGUUAUAGGCUAUUCACAUCUUCAACUCUACUAGGUAUUAUGUAUUUCUGUUCCCCACCAAGACUUUUAAAUUGUUGCUAGUUGGCUGACUGUGAAUGGUGGUAAAAUAUAUUUUAAUUUUCAUUUUCCUAAUUACUAGUGAGAUCGAAUUUAUUUUCAUGUGUUUGUUGAUCAUUUAGGUUUUUUCUUCUAAGGUGUCUGAUAAUAUCUUUGUUUAUUUUCAUAGGAGUUAUAUAUUACAGACACUAAUCCUUUAUUGAUUAUAUGCAUUGCAGAUACCUUCUUCCAGUCUGUGGCUUGUCUUUGUACUUUACGUUGUUUCUUCAUGAAAAAAAUUUUUUUUAAAGUUUCAUUAGUUAAUUUAGCAGCAUAUUCUUUUAUGGCUUUGCUUUUGUGUUUUAAGAAAUCUUUGGCCAGAGGUCAUAAAGACAUUUUCAUAUAUUUGCUUUUUAAAGUGUUAAAGAUCUUUGUUUCUUUCACCUUUGUCUUCAAUUUUACCUUUCCAUGUUUCAGAACCACUUAAUGAACCUUCCAUGCUUUUUCUGUGGUUUGUAAUGUGACCUCUACCACAUACCACAUUCCCAUACAAAGACAGGUUUGCUUCUAACCUUUGUGUCUCAUUCACUUCAUCUGUUUGCCUGUUCCUGUACCACACUAUUGUAUGUUAGGACAAUUCUUCACCUUCUUUAAAAGGAAGAAGAUUAUUGUGGCUCUUCUUGGCCUUUUUUCUUUUCAAAUGAUUUUUAGGAUCC